UGGUCGUUGAAAGCCUUCCCUUCCUGGGGAGAGGGAAGGGGAGGUGUGUGUUGUAUGUUGUGUUCUGUGUAUUCCGUGGUGUGGUGUGGUUGUUGAAAGCCUUCUCUUCCUGGGGAGAGGGAAGGGGAGGUGUGUGUUGUAUGUUGUGUUCUGUGUAUUCCGUGGUGUGGUGUGGUCGUUGAAAGCCUUCUCUUCCUGGGGAGAGGGAAGGGGAGGUGUGUGUUGUGUGCUGUGUUCUGUGUGUUGCGUGGUGUGGUGUAGUCGUUGAAAGCCUUCUCUUCCUGGGGAGAGGGAAGGGGAGGUGUGUGUUGUGUGCUGUGUUCUGUG